rnacentral:lncRNA from 1 species
UGGUCGCUGGUGGCGCAGGCGCACGGCACCCAGUCGUGCAUGGACCCCAACGUCAUUGAGGCGGGCGUGGUCGUGUCUGCCUGCGGCCACGACGGCCCCUUCGGCGCCACCGGUGAGUUGCAUGUUUUUGUGUCCGGUACCUAUUUUCCAUUGUUGUAUGCGUGUCUUGUGUGUUUCCGACCCACCCCUGGCCUGCGCUCUCGCCUCUUGUUUCUCACCUGCUUUCUCACCUGCUGCUGCCUCCACCCGCCCCCGCUGCCUACCUGCCGCUGUAGGCGUGAAGCGCCUGGCCCGCCUGGGCAUGGUGCCCGGCGGCGAGGUGCCCGGCAUGGGCGCCCUGGACAUGGAGGCCGCCGAGGGCUCCAUUGUCAACAACACCCGCGAGGUGAGCUUGGAGAGGUGGUGUUGAUUGCUGUGUUACAUAGGCCGGAAACAGCAGAGGGCCGCUGUCGCACAGCCCGCGUCCCAGCUUCUUUUGGCCUUGCCUGUGCCUCUGCUUAUGGCCUCCCUCACCUGGCUCGCUGCCUAGUUUUCUUACGGUCUUGCGUUCCCCUCCCCUCUCCCCCUCGCCCGCCCCAAUCACACCUCUAUACAGGUGGUGCCCGGCAUGGUGCUGACCGGCAUGGAGCUGGCGGAGGUGGACGGCUCGCCCCGCAUGGGCCCCACCUUCGGCGCCAUGAUCGUGUCCGGCAUGCGCGCUGCCCACAUGGCCGUCGCCGCUCUGGAGCGCCGCCGCGCCCUGUCCGCCGCCGCCGCCGAGGGUGCCGCCGCCGAGGCCCAGGCCUAAGCGCGCUCAGAACCUACUGGGCUGCGGCUCAUAUUGGGGUUGUUGCAACCCGUGGCCUGGUGUGGGUCUGCUGGUCAGUGUUGGGGCUAGGCGCAAUAGGGCGUGGGUCGCUGGGCACUGCGUCGCGAUUUCGUCAGGCUCCGAUGUCUUGUGGCUAGCACGUUUUCGACCGUGAGCGCAUGUCGGGUUCCGGUCCGGUAGCAACGUGCAAGACUCGGGUUUUGUUGAUGGAAUGUGUCCACGGGUUGAGGUUGAACGCACUCGUACUGGCGCCUGGGAGUUUGCGGGAGGAGUUGUCGUGUGGAGUUCAGCUCGGUGCCCUAGCCGACUGGGGAGCGCAGCAGUGCAUGACGAACUCCGCCGAUGUGGAACCCUUGGGGAUAAAAUGAUGGAACGCGUGAACGGUGACCGAACGCAAGCGCACCCCACCACUGGCGCACAGACCCACGCCAUGAGCUCAUGUAACAAUUUGGAGUUGAGAGAAGAUACACGUGCCUCACCACUCUAGGCGAGGCAGUGACGAGUUCGUGGCCCUUUUUAAGAUUGGGACACAAGUGUGUGUGCGUGGGCUGACCCUCAGGCUGUCCGUUGUCAGCAGCUUCGGUAAUUCACACCACACCGAUCGGGCGACCAGCCACAUCUCCAGCUGGGGCGGCGGGAGGCAUGUGCGCAUUGCUUCUUUCCGCGUCUCCGCAAUCCUUUGCACUUCAAUUGCAACUCCGUGCAGACGCUCCUGCACGCGGCUGCUCCCUAACAGCCCCACAGGCUCGUCGUUAGCCGUUUUCCUGCAUACCAACUCGAUACCAUCCCCUUUCUUGCCACUGGCAAGUGCUGUAUGUGCUGGGUGGGCACUCAAGGGUGUUGGAACCCAGGUCUGGUGGAUUGCCAACUGAACGUUCAGUGUGGGGCAACCACGAGGAGCCGAAGCUGUGCAGUCUGCUCUAGGCACGUAUCCUAGCGCUUGUCUGCAGUCUUCACGUGCGGCGCACGGGUCAAGCCCGCGCCAGCACCCGACCAUCCCCAGCCCUUCACCCUCAUCGCAGAUCGCGACCGCGUUCAGGCUACCUUGCAAGAGGGGACUGACCGAAUUAUGCUUACAUACAUGGCAAUAGACUGUGCCUCGCCUCAACGCAUUGGCGCCAAGCUCCCAACUCGGACUUUCCAACCAUGACCACAGGGCGAAAAACGGAACUGGCAUGCCCGAGCCCAAUCCUCCACUUUGCCCUACUUACCGUAUCAUAUGCUUGGCGUCAGCGGUCAGCAGCAAUUUGCACUUCGCCUGACGGGACUCGAGCUACCCUGCCAUCAGGGCUGCUUAGUGCACGCAACGCCCUGUCUAUUUCUGAAUGGCUUCCGUGAUCUUCGAAACCUCCCCCGUAAACGGUAUCCCUUGACACUCCUUAUGCUCCUCAUGCUGCCAGGCAAACGCGCUCUGCCCUGCUAUGCUGACCAGGCACCUGCACCCUUCCAACGCUGCCAAAAUCCAGUGUAUCACGCCUGCCCAGCGCCAGCCCCAGCUCCCGACGCCACGGCCACCGCCGCCUUGCCGGCCUCAUCCCCGCCCUCCAGAGCCGAGGCCACCCGGUUGCUGAUCAGCUGGACCAUCAGCGGGUCAAUGCCUGUGCGGUGAUGGAGAGAGCGACAAGUGAGGUAUGCAUUCAGCGCCCCCGCAAGGCAGUCGGACUUGCAUGCCCUUCCAUGUGGGAUACACAUGGACGUGUCGAAGCACAAGCCUCUCCAAACGGCGCACACGCCCCAGCAUACAGUACUGCGGGCGUGCUUCUGAUAUCCCAUAUACCGUACACGCCCUCAGAACCCACGCACCGGCCCCAAAACGCCUUUGCCCCAUGUGCCUCGCCACCUUGCCGUUAAGAAAACGAUAACCCACCAGCACCGGGCCCCCCACUCCCCACCCGUCCCACAAACCGACUGACCGAUGGGGUCGGCGAUUAUGCACUUCAGCCCGGGGUGCUCCGCCUGCGCCUCCCGCACCAGAGCCGGGAUAUCCUCCUGUCAUGUGUGGCGUGGCGUGGCGUUUGGCGUGGCUGGUGUGAACGUCUAUUGCAUUCUCAGUACCAGCAUUCUUGCCGCCAGGCAUGCGCACGAGUUCCACGUGCUUCACACUCCUUCGGCACAGCACAUCAAUAACCCCAGCGCAGCACGUUCCCCGCCGUGCGCGCACGCCUUCCCCUAGCCUCCUCACCCUGUCCCCGCUCACUUGUUGCAUCACAGCGUGUUACGCACCUGGAUGUGGCGCCCUCGUGACAGGAAGUACGGCGCAAUCACCACAGUGCUGGCGCCCCGCUCCGCGCAGCGGCCUGCAGAUGGAGCAGCCAGCAUCACGGCAUGACACCUAUCCAGCCUAUGUGAUCGGCAGACGCGAGGCAUCGGCAUACGCGAGCACAUAUGUCCGUCUCGAACGUCCACACCCGGCGUCGUGUCAUGUGCUCGUCUCUCUCGGCGGUACCCUGGCAAGCGGCCGCAAGUAGCCGUGCCCCCUGCCCACACGCGUGGCUCAGGACAUGCGUGUACGGCUCCUCAUGCACUGACUCACCCACGGCCUGCGCAAUGGUGGGCUCCGCGAUCUCCAUGUGUGCCACCUCCACCAGGUCGUGCCCCGUCAGCUGGCCGUACAGGGCGCCGAACUCGUGCAGCAUGUCAUUGGAGGCGCGCUUGCGCGAGCCGUGGUCCACAAUCACCACACCGACCUAGGAAACAUAUGCGAACAAAGGACCUCGUGGGAUUGAGGAAGCGGCGUCACCGGGUGGUGUCACUUGUCGUCAGCGUGGCCCCCGGCGUGGCACACGAACCCCGGCGAGGCAACCCCAGGCGCAACUCACAUACCUUGCCCGGGGCUCCAGCGCCGUUUCCAGAAGCCGCUGCCACGAUAGCCGAGCGCGAUAACCGAGGCGAGCGGAUGCAGGGCCAGGCAGCAGGGUAGCUUGUGGAGCCAGGCGCCAGGUCCGCCGCAGGCGAGGCCAUCGCUAACCGAUGAGCCAGCGAGUUGCAAUUACGAACUGCUACAGAAGAGUUCGGAUUGGCGAAUAAAUAACGCCGGGGAGCUGCAGGUGUGCUGACGCCUGAGUUCGCCGCGCGCCUCUCCAUAGAAAGGGCCAUCGUGAGAGGCCUGUCUAGAAUCGUGGGUUGGAAGUGUUCAAUCAAAUGAGUAGAGGUAUCUUUAUGCAAUGAAUUUUCUGGCAGCACUUGUGCAUGUAGAGCGACCUUGGCGAUGAGGGCACCUGGAUUCCAAAACUCCUCCGUUCUGCAACUUUAUGCACCUGACUUGCUGAGGAAUGCGGAUUAUCAUUAGUUAAUGUGAGGAUCAUGGCUCUACAAAAUGCUUGGCAAAACACGAAGGAGCGUGCCCGCGAGACCUGGGCGCAACUCACCUGGUCCGAGGUGUCUGGCUCGCUGGGCGACCUGGGCACGUUCCUUCCUUUGCUGGUGAGCUUCUGGGUGUCGAGUUGGCCAGCCGGCCCCAACCGCUGCCAGGCACGGGAUGUGCCGGUUCGCCCCGCCGGUACUUGAGGGUGCGGCCCAGGCGCAGUGCGGACCCCGUGAAGGUUCCUGCUUCGGGUCAUGUCGCAUCAAAGUGCAAUAUGCAUCCGCCAAAUUUUGACGACCGAGCAGCGCUAAUGCCACGCAGUCCUGCGCAGUCUGAUGUGCUGGCGUGCAGAACCGUUCACUGCAGGACCCGAGCGGUUGACAGGGCGCGUGCAGCACGCACAGCGUCCCACGCUCGCAUGACACAAACGGUUAUCGCAUACCCACACAGCACCAUCCACAUUCUUCAUUACCUUGAAUGUAGAUCGGCCUGGUUCAGAAGGUCCAUCUGGACCUGGGGACGACCCUUACUAUUACAGGUGGGGUUUUCCGCAGGGUGCAGGGUGCGGGGGCGUGGGCAGGGGAAGCCUGUGUUGCCUGUGCUGUUUGCAGCGUUGCGCACGUACCCACCCCCCACCGCACGGCAUCUGACACAAUCCAAUCUUGCACAUUGCUGGUUUGCCUGCGCAGGUCUGUACAACAUCAUCAGUGGGUGGCAGUUCCGCAUCCCCAUGUGCGUGCAGCCGAUGAAGACCAUUGCCGCGGUGGCGCUGGCGGGCGGAGCGGUGCGUGGCGUGGCGUGUUGUGUGGUGCGGUAUAGUGUGGUGUGGUGUGGUUGUGCGAUGUGCUUGUGCAGUGUGGUUGUGCAGAGUGACCGAGGGAAGGAAAGGAAACCCGGGCACCACUGCCCGCCACGGGACGCACACACACACAUCCUACUACACAUCGAUACACAGCCAGACUCUCCACGUCCCCUCCCACUUAUAGCGCCCACAGCACUUCGCGAGAGAGAUGCAUGUAUGUACCGCGCAACUCCCUGUGUGCAUCCUUGUCACCGUCCUUGCAAGCACCUCCCGCCACCGCCACCCCAACACACAUGGCCUGCCUCCCGUGCCUGCCUCCCCCAACCUCAACCUCAACCUCAACCUCUCCCUCCACGCCUGCUGCCUCCGCCGCCAGGCCGGUCUGGAUCUGCCUCAGCUGCUGCACGCGGGCCUGUUCGUGGCGGGCUGUGUGGGGCUGUUGGGUGCCAGCCAGGCCAUCGACCUGUUCAACUGGCUGGUGCCGCCACCCGUCAUCCGCGGCGUGCAGCUGGCGGUGGGCGUCAAGCUGGCCAUGAAGGUGAAGGGGCCCAAGGAGGGACAGAGGGAGGGAUAUGGGGCCCGGUCUGUGCAUGCUUAGUUAUGACCAGUUAUGACGUGGCCAGAAAAUGUUGACAAGUCGGUGCAGCAGAUCGGUUGGAAGGCCGAGGGAACAGAGGGAGGAAGGGAUGGUUGUUUUCGGCGAUUUCCACAAAAGAAACCGGAGACACGAGGACACGUGACGAGUCACGUGGGGAAGAAGGGAGAUCGAGCGCUGCGCACGAGGGUUGCAAGAGGGAAUUGCCAUGAAGUCUACCCGGUAGGACUCGGCAGUCAAGGCCCAAGCACUAGCAACAAUGCACCGCCUGCUGCCUCCGACCCGCCACGGCCACCAGGGUGUAGACAUGGCGUUGCGGCUGCACGGCGGCCCCUCCAGCGGCUGGCGGCCGUGGCUGGGCACUGAGGGGCUGGUGGUGGGGGCGGUGGCGCUGGCGGCUAUGAUCGCGACCACCCUGCCGCCGCGUGGUGAGCGAGCCUGGGAGCGAGAGGGGACAGGCCUAGCCAGUCUUUGGGGCUGGAUCCCGUUGACCCUCCUCAACCUGCGCGGAGGAGGAAGACCGUACGUAGGAGGAGAGGGAGUGAGGAAGGGUUCGGCAGCCGCUGCCCACGAUGCCGCAGCUGCUGCUGCCCACCCAAACAACCCCAUCCCCCAUCCCUAUCCUCACUCCGACCUCACACACUACCCCCGCAAACCCCGUCACAUGCCCCUGCAUGCUGCUACGGCUACUGCUACUGCUACUGCUGCUAUUGCUGCUGCGUUAGCCGCCCGCCGCGGCACCCUGGAAGCGGCCGAUGAGGGCGGUCUGGGCCCCCGCCCCACUGACACCGCCUUCGAGCCGCUGCUGCGCCGCCUGCCCGCCUGUUGCGGCGGCGGCGACCGCGCCCCGCAAGUGGAGGGCGCCGCCGUCAGCGCGGAGCGGGCGGGGCUGCUGGCGCACGCGGAGGGCGGCGAGCGCAGCGGCAACCUGGAUGACGGCACGGAGGCGGGCGUGGGCGCUGCGGCUGGAGGUGGAGGGUGUGGCGGAGGUGGAGGCGGCGGCAGGAUCCCCAGCGCGCUCAUUGCGGUGGUGGUGGGCCUAGCGAUGGCGGUGCUGCACCGGCCGGGGCUGGUGUGGGAGCUGCGGGUGAGUUUGAGCGUGUGUGUGUGUGUGUGUGUGUGUGUGUGUGUGUGUGUGUGUGUGUGUGUGUGUGUGUGUGUGUGUGUGUGUGUGUGUGUGUGUGUGUGUGUGUGUGUGUGUGUGUGUGUGUGUGUGUGUGUGUGUGUGUGUGUGUGUGUGUGUGUGUGUGUGUGUGUGUGUGUGUGUGUGUGUGUGUGUGUGUGUGUGUGUGUGUGUGUGUGUGUGUGUGUGUGUGUGUGUGUGUGUGUGUGUGUGUGUGUGUGUGUGUGUGUGUGUGUGUGUGUGUGUGUGUGUGUGUGUGUGUGUGUGUGUGUUUGAGCGUGUGUGUGUGUAUGUGUGUGUGUGGAAUAAUGCCGGAAAUGGGAGGGGGUGGCAAGAGGUGGCACGCACAGGAUGGCACAGGGUGGCAGGGGGCUGUGGGAGUUGGGCAGAGAGGCUAAGGAGCGAGAGGCUUCCCAGGCCAGGCAGUUGGGGAUUCCGUUGCACCAGGAGGCAGUAUGGAACUGCUCCCGACUGAUGUCGUGGCACGUGCAUGCUCAAGUGUGUUUUCUACGCACGUAUUGCUCCCCACAAAUACGCACCUUUCCCUCUCUCCCACACCCUUCCAUCCCGCCACGGUACCCUCUUGGACCUUGUCGCUCCUGGCGGCACCAUGUUUGGCAGGGUACCGUUAUGCGCACAUGCAGACUAUCCCUCCCUCCUCUCCCUGCCUUCCCCCCCCCCCCACACACACCCCCCUACCCCCCCCCCGCACCUCCUCAGCUGGGUCCCACAUUGCCGCGCCUGCUGCGGCCCUCCUGGCCCGACUUCAAGACCGGCGCGCUGCGGGGCGGGCUGCCGCAGCUGCCGCUGACCACGCUCAACUCCGUCAUCGCCGUGACACAGCUCGCUAACGCGCUCUUCGGCGACAAGUAAGCGAGCAAAUGCCUAAAGCUGCUGUAUAAAAUGCUUCAAUACCGUACCAUUCCAGAUUUCCAGCCCAACUUGCCGUAAGCCGGAGCAGCCCAUGCGUCUGUCUCCUUUAGACCCGUCAGACCCGAUUCAGACGAUGUGCCCGUGCGCUGAACCAGCUGCUUGAGCUGUUCGCCUGCGGCACCUCCGGAACCAGCUAAACCUCCCCUUCCGUCGUUCCUGCUUGUCGGUACGUCCGCUUGUUCGCCGCAGGCCGGAGGCGGAGCGGCGGCGCUGGCGGCCCUCUGCGGUGGCGCUGUCAGUGGCGCUUCUGAAUGGCGCGGGCGUGUGGCUGGGAGCCAUGCCCUGUUGCCACGGCGCAGGCGGGCUGGCGGCCCAGGUGCGAGAGCAGGCAAGGGGGCGCGGCGGGACUCGGGGCGGCAGGACGUGGAGGGGGCAUCAGUACACCUCCGUUCGGCUUUUUGACAUUCGAUACGAGCCCACUCCGCCUUCCGCUCUGGUCUACGUAACCGAUGCCUAGCGGCGGGUCGGUCGGUCAGCUCUACCGUACCUGCCUCGCUCUCCUCCCAAGUCCCAACCUGCACACACAAGUUCAUCCCUGUUUGGUGACCGCCAUGCUGUACCACAAUAACAGUACAAGUUCGGCGCGCGCACGGGCCACGCGCCCAUCCUGCUGGGCUGCAUCAAGGCAGCUCUGGGGCUGCUGUUUGGGGGCAGUCUGGUGGUUCUUCUGGAGGUGAGGGGGGUGGCGGCAGCGAGUGGUGCAAGGGCGCGGCGGGUUGGGCCGUGGCAUUAUGAAGGGGAGGGUUGGGCUAGAAAGGCUCUCUCUGUGUGUGGCUCACCUGUAGGUUAAGGCCGCGCCUCCUCCGCGCACUACGGCCUGGGCUGGCUUGGGCUUGGGUUCCGGGGUUUUCUUGGGUGAACUCCCCACCCACCCCACCCCACCCCACCCCACCCCACCCGCAGGCAUUCCCGCAGCCGCUGCUGGGCGCGCUGCUGACUGUGUCCGGCAUUGAGCUGGCGUCCGUUGUGCGCCACACGCGGUGGGUCAUGCUGCUGGUGCAGUGGGGGCCUUUGCCACCUAACGACCUCAGGCUGCACGUACAGUAUUGGCCACGUGCCGCAAAUCAGUAGACCAGCUUGCAUGUGCAAGGCCAUGCUGCCGGCAGCGAGCGAGCACCCGUUGUGUGGUUCUUCGUUGCAAGGUGGUGCGCACGGUCCUUGCGUGCCUUGCUGCCUCCUGGAGACUGGCGCUGGCCGGGGUGACCCCACGCGGUGACCCGCAUCCUGCCAUGAACCCAUACAUAACUGAGGGAGGCAUUCGACCGCAACGGUAGUUUUGCAAGUGGUCUGGCACAUGCAUGUGUGCAUUGUGGCAGCAUCUCGCCCGCACCCACACCGCUAUUGUUUGGUGCCUUCCUGUUGUCGCAGGUCUCCCCGCGGCUACACCUUUGCGCUGCUGACGGCCGUUGCCAUCCUGGCCCUGGACAACACCGGCACCGGCUUCCUAGUGGGGCUGGUAGGAGUGGCGGCUGUAGCAGCCUACGAGGGCGCAGUAGCAGCUGCGGCCGCUCGUUGGCCGCGGGUCUUUGCUCGCGGUGGCAGGGCGUGAAAAUGAGAGGGGGGGGGGUUCUAUGCCCGUGCCCAGCAACAUUGGUCCCAAUUGUCAGGGAAUUGGGGGGGGGGGCGGGGCGGGGUGGAGGUCUGGGACUCUGGAUGGUGGCGGUUCGAUAGUGUACAGCAGGAUGACCUACACCAGGGAUUACCUGACAGCAGCGUGGGGGAUAGCGCUUGGGUCCGUGUGUUCUGGGAAAGGGAAGGGUGCGGUGUGCAUGGCGCCACAUCAGCUACCGCCUUUUCGCAGAGGCGUUGUCGGCAGAAAUGUGACAGAAUCGCGGGAUUGACUCGUUUGUUGAGUCGGAGCUGCCAGCGGGGAUUGAUUCGUUUGUUGAGUAGUCGAGUACGUAGGAGCCGUCAGCGGCGGGCUUCACGGCGGGGGCCUGUCAUGUUCGGGGUUCUCGUUGCGGUAAGUUCAUGGGUCACUGUGGGAGGAAAGGGAGCCGUUAGGACGGUCCUUGAGUGCAUGCAAGAACGGCACGCACUAGAGACGCCACCGAGCGAACGUAAUUGAAUGGGGACCAAACAGGGUCCUCCCCAGUUGCCGUCCUGCAGGAGGCACCAGAUCCCAUCUAUAUAUCCAACACACACGUCUAACACCCAUGACUUUCAAUCGACCGCCGUGCAUCACUGCAUCCAUCGAACUAUGGAAGACCGCAGACCAACCGUUCUCCGUAUGACAGCGCAAACCAUGGAAUACGGCACAUGUAACAAGUAGCCCGCCAGGCAGAGUCAGGCAGUGACACAGCGGCCCGGCCCCAGCGUCGGGACCGCCUGCACAGUGCAUAUGCACUGUGCAGACCCUGGCACUGUGUGUAGCCUCCGUCUACUCGUGAUACCUUUUGGCUGGGUCAAAUGCUGGGUCUGGGGCGGGGUUGAGCGUCAAGCGUGGAGGCUGGUUAUUAAGAAUAUUGUUGAGGCCUCAAGCCUUAAAAAACAGAAAAAAUAUUCUCCCUGUGGGGCCCCGGGGCAACCUUUCUCGCUCGAGGGCUUGCGUUGGGCGGCGCUCCUUGCCGCUCCCUGAAGAUGCAAGCCCUGCGUUACGCCCGCCCGGCGUCCAAAGCAUGGGAGGUCCAAAGGCUGGGGCGCCCCUCCUGCCGCUCCCUUCAACUGGGAAGGCUGACUGGCUGAGUCCUCCUUACGGUAAGCCACCCGUGGGCUGUGUUGCCGACAGCUCCCGCGUGCUGCCGCUGCCACGCCCAGAAGGUGCGUGUACACGCCGGGUCGCUUGUGAGCCGCACUCCUGCCUGCCGCAGCCGCUGGAUCUCCUAUGCCUGUGCGGCAUGGGUAGCUGAGCGUCCCACCACCAGGUCCCACCACCUCCUUCAUAGCUGUGCGUCUCGUGUGGCUUCUGCUGGUGCUGCUGUUUCCAGCGUUUCUGUGCUGCUGUUUCCAGCGUUUCUGGGGCUGCGCGGACUGGCCCGCGUCGUGUAUGUAUUGAGGAUGGACGGUGAGCAGCCAUGGGGAGAGGGGUGCAGGGGCGAUUGUUUCCCUCCUCCAGCCGUGCAGCAUUGAAGGGGGGGGGGGGUUGCAGGGGGGAGGCGGGUGCAGCAGGGGGGAGGGUUCCCUCGGUCUCCCUGCCCUCCCCUGCCCAGCAGCUUGAAAGGGGGAUGUAUGGGGCUUCUCGGAUGGGAAGUAAGCGAAGUGGCACGCGUGCUUUCCAUCGUUUUUGCACUAGUUCUCAUAAUGAUCAUCAUAAAGGACAGUGAAGAAGGCCGCAGUCUUACUUGAUUGUGCAGCAGAGCGCCUUUGCUUGCGCUUCUCCUCCGACGAUCCAUCAAGGCCCUAGAGCUGUGUUAGCAUUAUACUGCAUGUUAUGGUAUUGCAUUUAGAGACUUUGCUCCUGUCCCGGCAGCGCGGUUUCCGGCUCCGUUCUCACGCUGCACUUGUUCUCGCGCCCUGGAAUGAAAUUCAGAUACUUAAGCUUAUUUCAAAAAGCGACAUCACAAAGUUGCAUUACCAAAAUCGCAGCGUAGCCCAAGCGCAAAGGAUUGCGCCACACUUUCGGCCCACCCCGCCCGAGAUAGCUGGGGCUGAUCAUUCGCCAGUAAGGAGGAAGAACUCCGGAAAUUGUCACGUGCUUGCGGCGGGCUUUCAUUUCCGCCCCCUGCUUUUCGCGCGCAAUCGUUGGUCAGGCGAGGUAGGGGUACGAAUCUGGCACAGUCCGACUUCACAGGCCGUCAAUUGUAGCAGCUUAGGUUCAUAUGCAUGCAUUUAAAAAAUGGAAUGACAGGCGCCGAACACGUUUGUGCGGAACUUCACAGGUGACAGUGUCGAGGUUAAACUUCACCAAUCGGGGCUUUGAGGCAACCAAAUAGGUUCAGAGAAUUGAUGCACACGUAUCACCGCUUCAAUACGCAGUGCAAAUUGGUGCUUGACGAAAUUCCGCCGCACGAACCGGGUUUGCGAUAUCUUUCACAAUUCAUCGUUUCAUUCCUACCAACUUAAGACCUUUUUGGCGAGCGCUUUAAUGUGGAGCGCUCGGUGGCUCCAGCAGCAUUAUUGGCGAUGCUCGCACCGCCGAAGGUGGUCCGGCGAUCGCCCGGCUAAGAGCUUCAUAGCAGCGGCAGUGAAGUUUCUGUAUCUGGCUGCCAUGAUGAUUGCGCUGCCCGUCGCGGCUCAGGUGCCGUCAACCUCCCGGUUCCCGCCACCACCUUUCUCCCGCUCGCCUGCACCUCCAUCGCCCCAGCCGCCCCGACCUCCCUCCCCAGCCGCCAACUCUUCCGUCCAGUCCGAGGCCCUCGCUCCCUCACCUUCUGCCCUUGACAGCACCUAUUCCGACUAUUCUGAUCUCCUAGAGGAGCUCGUGAGCUCGCUCCCUGUCCCCACCGCUACAGCCGGCGAUGCUACGGCCUAUGAACAGGCGGGUCUCGCGUCGCCGGCUGCGCGCUACUGCGCCAGCCUCAGCGCCUCCCUCGACCUGCUCUACUAUGGGCUGCUGCCCUCCCUGAAUCGCACGCUCAACGCCUCGGUCGGUGGCACGCCCCCAAGCAGUCGUCGCUUCGGUCUGAUGAUAAAUGCGGUGCCGCACUGCCGCACGCUGCAGAGCCUCUUCCCCUGGCUGCUUCAGGUACGUUGUUCCGUGCGUGCGUGCGCCGUCGAUGUCCAUCUCCCCCGCCGCAAAUAGCAAGCUCACUUACAACAUAACUUUCACUGUCACAUCACCAUACGGAUAUCCAUGCAUAACACAGGCGCUGGGCGACGGCGGCAUUGGGUCGGGCUGCUACUCUGUCGCCUUCUCCUCCUCCGUGGAACUGACCCUGACACCUGUUACGAGCGCGGACCUUCUGCUUG